rnacentral:sRNA from 1 species
AAUUUAUAAAAAAGUAAACUCGUCCAUGAGACGGGUCCUUAUCUAGUAUUUAAUAAUAUCAAACACUUUAUUUUUUGGCAUAUUAUAUAGAUGUAUGUAUCCGUUUUGAUUUGCAACCUCUUUUUGUAACAUGAAGAGUCCUAUGAUUACGCAAAGAGAAGUUGCUAAUAAUACCCUUCCAAGACUAUCCUUUUAAUUAUGCCAUUUCAUUUAGGUCAUUUUCAUUUAUACCGUCUUUUAACUUUUAAUGACUAUUUUACCCCUAUUUUGAAAAUGUUUUAGCUUAACAAAAUGAAAUAUUGAUUUUCCCCCCUAAAUUAUUUCGAAGAUAUUUCUCCUGCCAAAAGAAUAAUGAAA